AGCUUUGCACAGUGGCAGUAUUGUACCCAAUGAGGUUUAUCUGAGGCGUGAUUAUUGCUAAUUGAAAACCCA
rnacentral:snRNA from 1 species